rnacentral:hammerhead_ribozyme from 1 species
AUCCAGUUGACGAGUCCCAAAUAGAACAAAACGCGUCUUGUCCAGGAU